rnacentral:rRNA from 2 species
UGAGACACGGCCAGACUCUACGGAGGCAGCAGUGGGGAAUAUUGCACAAUGGGCGAAAGCCUGAUGCAGCGACGCCGCGUGAGGGAUGACGGCCUUCGGGUUGUAAACCUCUUUCAGCAGGGACGAAGCGAGAGUGACGGUACCUGCAGAAGAAGCACCGGCCAACUACGUGCCAGCAGCCGCGGUAAUACGUAGGGUGCGAGCGUUGUCCGGAAUUACUGGGCGUAAAGAGCUCGUAGGCGGUUUGUCGCGUCGUCCGUGAAAACUUGGGGCUCAACCCCAAGCUUGCGGGCGAUACGGGCAGACUUGAGUACUGCAGGGGAGACUGGAAUUCCUGGUGUAGCGGUGAAAUGCGCAGAUAUCAGGAGGAACACCGGUGGCGAAGGCGGGUCUCUGGGCAGUAACUGACGCUGAGGAGCGAAAGCGUGGGUAGCGAACAGGAUUAGAUACCCUGGUAGUCCACGCCGUAAACGGUGGGCGCUAGGUGUGGGUUUCCUUCCACGGGAUCCGUGCCGUAGCUAACGCAUUAAGCGCCCCGCCUGGGGAGUACGGCCGCAAGGCUAAAACUCAAGGAAUUGACGGGGCCCGCACAA